UGGCAUAACCGUCUGUACUGACCCUUUGCCAAAGCUUUUGGUUCCUACGACUAUGGCGCGGCGGUGGUCUUGCAAAGCGCCCGCGACAAUUUCUGAAGCAGAGGCAGAUCCACCAUUUAUCAAAACUACAAUCGGUUUGCCAAAGGCAAGAUCAUCAGGGGUGGCAUUAUAACGAUCACCAUCCUGAGGAUCACGUCCUCGGGUUGAGACGAUCUCACCUUUUUCCAAAAAGGCAUCAGAGACUUUGAUAGCCUGAGACAGUAGACCGCCCGGAUUAUUGCGCA
rnacentral:ncRNA from 1 species